UACGUAGGGGGCGAGCGUUGUCCGGAUUUAUUGGGCGUAAAGAGCGUGUAGGCGGCCAGGUAGGUCAGCUGUGAAAACUCGAGGCUCAACCUCGAGAUGUCGGCUGAAACCAUCUGGCUAGAGUCCGGAAGAGGAGAAUGGAAUUCCCGGUGUAGCGGUGAAAUGCGCAGAUAUCGGGGAAGAACACCCGUGGCGAAGGCGGUUCUCUGGGACGGUACUGACGCUGAGACGCGAAAGCGUGGGGAGCGAACAGG
rnacentral:rRNA from 1 species